rnacentral:rRNA from 1 species
UUGGCGGUACCUCCCCCAGAUAGUCAGGGCCCCGUUCGUGCCAGCAGACGUUGUUUUAUGUAGCGUGGCUAGCCUUGUCGGGAAUUAUAGGGCGUAAAGCGCGCGCUGGGGGUUUUUUAAGUCUGAUGUGAAAGCCCCCCGUCUCUACCGGGGAGGGUCAUCGGAGACUGGGGAACUUGAGUGCAGCAGAGGAGAGUGGAUUUCCACGUGAAGCGGUGAAAUGAGUAUAGAUUUGGCGGAACACCUGCGGCGAAGGCGACUCUCUUUUCUGUAAUCGACGGGGGUUCCGGUUGCUUGGGGAGCGAACAGGUUUACAUAUCUCGGUUGUCCAUCCGUAAUCGAUGAGUGCUAAGUGUUUGAGGGUUUCCGCCCUUCAGUGCUGCAGCUAACGCCUUAAACUCUCGGCCUGGGGAGUACGGUCGCAAGAUUGAAAGUCAAGGGAUUGGAGGGGGGCCGCACAAGCGGUGGAGCAUGUGGUUUAAUUCGCACCAACGCGAAGAACCUUACCAGGUCCUGACAUCCUAUGACAACCCUCAGAAAGGUUUCCCCUUCGGGGGCAGAGGACAGGUGGUGCAUGGUCCUUGUCAAAGUUUCCUUGAGAUGUUGGGUUAAGUCCCGCAACGAGCUCAACCUUUGCUUUAGUUGCCAGCAUUCAGUUGGGCACUCUAAGGUGACUGCCGUUGACAAACCGGAGGAAGGUGGGGAUGACGUCAAAUCAUCAUUCCCUUUUUACUUGGGCUACACACCUCCUACAAUGGGCAGACCAAAGGGCACAGAAGCCGUGAGGGUAAACCAAUCCCACAAAUCAUUCUCAGUUUGGAUCGCAGUCUGCAACUCGAGUGCGUGAAGCUGGAAUCGCUAGUAAUCCCGAACGCCUUCCCGCCCCCUCCC